rnacentral:rRNA from 1 species
AGAGUUUGAUCCUGGCUCAGAUUGAACGCUGGCGGCAUGCCUAACACAUGCAAGUCGAACGAGAGUAGCAAUACUCUAGUGGCGGACGGGUGAGGAAUACGUAGGAAUUUGCCCUUAAGUGGGGGAUAGCCCGGGGAAACCCGGAUUAAUACCGCAUGAUCUCGAAAGAGCAAAGUGGGGGAUCGCAAGACCUCACGCUUUUGGAGAAGCCUACGUCGGAUUAGCUAGUUGGUGAGGUAAUGGCUCACCAAGGCGACGAUCCGUAACUGGUCUGAGAGGAUGAUCAGUCACACCGGAACUGAGACACGGUCCGGACUCCUACGGGAGGCAGCAGUGGGGAAUAUUGGACAAUGGGCGAAAGCCUGAUCCAGCAAUGCCGCGUGUGUGAAGAAGGCCUUCGGGUUGUAAAGCACUUUAAGUUGGGAAGAAAAAACUCGUCCUAAUACGAUGAGCCUUGACGGUACCGACAGAAUAAGCACCGGCUAACUCUGUGCCAGCAGCCGCGGUAAUACAGAGGGUGCAAGCGUUAAUCGGAUUUACUGGGCGUAAAGCGUGCGUAGGCGGUUUGCUAAGUCGGUUGUGAAAGCCCUGGGCUUAACCUGGGAAUUGCAGUCGAUACUGGCAGGCUAGAGAACGGUAGAGGGAGGCGGAACUCCAGGUGUAGCGGUGAAAUGCGUAGAUAUCUGGAAGAACACCGAUGGCGAAGGCAACCUCCUGGGCCUGUUCUGACGCUGAGGCACGAAAGCGUGGGUAGCAAACAGGAUUAGAUACCCUAGUAGUCC